CCUACGGGUGGCAGCAGUGGGGAAUAUUGGGCAAUGGGCGCAAGCCUGACCCAGCAACGCCGCGUGAAGGAAGAAGGCUUUCGGGUUGUAAACUUCUUUUCUCAGGGACGAAGAAAGUGACGGUACCUGAGGACUAAGCCACGGCUAACUACGUGCCAGCAGCCGCGGUAAUACGUAGGUGGCAAGCGUUAUCCGGAUUUACUGGGUGUAAAGGGCGUGUAGGCGGGAAAGCAAGUCAGAUGUGAAAACCAUGGGCUCAACCUGUGGCCUGCAUUUGAAACUGUUUUUCUUGAGUACUGGAGAGGCAGACGGAAGUCCUAGUGUAGCGGUGAAAUGCGUAGAUAUUAGGAGGAACACCAGUGGCGAAGGCGGUCUGCUGGACAGCAACUGACGCUGAGGCGCGAAAGCGUGGGGAGCAAACAGGAUUAGAUACCCGUGUAGUC
rnacentral:rRNA from 1 species